CCUCGGUAAAACCUAUUCUAUAUGCUAGCCAUAUGCUUCUCAUCCUUUACCGGAACCCUUACUGUUGACUUCCACGCGGAUACGCAGCCCUCCAUUGGAUGGCAAAAGAACCAGGACAAAUUUCCUCGCAUUGAAAAGUGGAACCCAUACGAUACUCUGGCAGUAUGUACGAGGAGGAGUCGGUUGCUAUCUUUGGUUAUCUAGCUGUAUGAGUGUUACUCGGCCGUCAUAAAGCUAGCUAACCGAAUGUAGGAAUGUCCUCCAAACCUGCGACUCGGACAGGAAUAAAUGGUGUCUAGGAGUAAAGACACAAAAUAACAUAAUUGAUAUGCAAUUACAGGCCAAUACCUCAUUGCCUUUCCGGUAAGUUAUAACAAUUUUCCCUAAUCAUUUAUUAUAAACAUCUGUUGAAACACUUCUGAAUUCCUCAAAACCUGAUACAACCCGAAAUGAAUGCUUUUUCUUAUUUCAUUUAGAGAAUAUAUUCUCUAAAUAUAAGUAGGGUAAUCUUUAUAGCAUGCCUUUAAAUGAUAAAUCAACAUUUUCCACAAUGGAUUCAAAAUCAUGUUGUGAAUUGAAGUGUAUAUUUGUCCCACUUUUGUUUAGUAUGCUUAGAGCAAGAAUACUCUUUAUACAUUUAUUUAUUCCAUCACGCAAGGCAUCUAGAGUGAUUUUGCCGAAAACAUAUUCUAAAAGGAAAAAUACUUAAUAAAAAGCCUUUAUUCCGGUCAGAGGAAUAGAUAACUUUAUCCAGUCAUAUGAGUGAACUGUAACAAUUGAUAUUCGGGCAUGAAUAUGAAUAAAGCUUUGUCGCAUCAAAGUAUCCGUAGUUGACCAGUAUUCCUUAUAGUUCUCACUGCAUAAAUCAGGUUUACGCACACGCAAACACAUAUUGAAUUAAGGUUUAAUCAGAUGGAUUAAGAUUUGUGACUCAUAUUGAUAUCAUUCUUGUCUCAGGUGGAAACGUUUUGAUUUCCCAGAAUAUGGCCGAUAUUAGCCUUUAUGACGUAUUUAGGCAUACUAUAGGCCAACGCCUAUAAAAAAGACGGUCCUGAUUAAGAUGAGCUAUGUCAGUCGAUAUUUCAGUCGAUAUUAAGUCAAGCGAUCCAUGUCAUUACAUAAACGCAUACUUUCAGUUGUGUUCUCACAUAGAGUUGUGUUGUCUAGAAAGGAAGAACACUUAAGAUAUUCAUGGUUUUUCUAGAUUUAAAUGCAUUAUACCUCCCAUGUGAGUCUCACAAUACCUUUACGCAUUGUGCGCACACCUAAUCGGCACAAAUUAUUCAAGUGUCUCAAUUUGGACUUUCUGCCUGGCCCUUCACGGUGCUAUAGCUAUCCCUCAAAAGGCAACUUCUAUAGCUUCUCUUGGAGAACCAAAUCCGGGGAUGCAUUUUCAUUCAACCAACAACUCCUCUCAGAACCUACAGUGGCGCUCAAUGGCUGGAGCGCGCUCCUGGCUAAUUGGUUUGAUUCAGUAAAGGAGGCUGGCUAUACGCUGGAUUUGUGAAACGUCCGAGCGAGCUUUUCCCACGACUGGCCGGAUCUCUCCAUUCUAGUGUGUCACCAGACAAUUUAGAAUUUCCACUGGUCAACCCAGUGACAUAGGGCCUACCAGUCGCUACUCUGAUAAUAUCGUCCUUAACCAAAACUGCGUCCUCUUGAUGUCUAUUGUGAGCUUUACAUUAUCCAAGUGUAGGCCGAUAUCCUCCUCAGGUCUUUUAAUACUGAGAGUAGGCUAGUUGUUGACUACUACUAUUAACUCACUUGAUUUGAACAUUUCGUAUUCUGAUCAAUCUCAAUUUAUGCUUAAAAUAUCCAUCUAUUAUUAUUUAUUGUUACUUCACCUUUAUUCACUAACUGCAUUCUGAUUGUACCUCUACUAUCCUCAAAACAAAAGCCUUGUGUCGACCUCCUCCAACCUGCCUAUCUGAAUCUCCUCAUCAAUAACUGUAAUGCAGGCUCUGAUCCAUACAAGUCCCAACAAAGAAGAAUGGAGACAUUAUCUAAUUCAACCACACCUAUCUCACCACUCUAUUCUUCUCUAGGCCUAAUCCAUAUAAACGUGUCCUUUGCCUGUUGUAGAAGAACCCUUGGCAUGACUAUUCUAUUACCCGACAAUGAUCAAAUUAAUUGUUGCUGAAUGUUAGUGAUGAGAAUUCAAGCAUAUUGUUUUAAUGGAUACGUUUAGUUUUAUUUUUUUUGAACUAUUGCAUUAGAUUGUAUUUGUAAAUGUCUUUGUUAUUGUCAAAGGUUGAUCCAGUGCCCUUGUCACUGCAGUGGCUGCCUGAGAUACACCCACAAACUCUGCAGUAUGAACAGCACAAACUGUCUACUAAAUGUGACUGCCAGCCAUUCACACCAUGUCUGGAUUGAGCAAGGGGAAAGUGGCACAGUCGUCACAAAAAAACAGAAAGCAGGAGGGGAAGAAAAAGGCCAACCCCCUUGUCCCUCUUCCCUUAAAUCUCCAUCACCGGAAGCCUUUGGUGCCAUCUGUGACCCUGGAGAAAAGGACGGGCGAGAUGCCUCCACCCUGUGCCAACGGGGACAAAGGAGCUGCCAGUUAGAGCGGCCCCCCUCGCAGGCAGCCAGAGGACUCUGUGUGACUGACUGGGGCUGAGCUACGGAAGCCAUCUUGAUGGAGAGUCUUGCUGCUGCUCCUAAAAUGGCUGUGUUGGCAUGAGGUCCUGCAGGUGUUGACAACCUCUAGGGGAAGACUCUUCCAUCAGCCCUGAGCCCUGAGCCCUGGGCCUUGAACCCUGAGCCCUGGGCCCUUCCUCAUUGGCAUCCUCUCCAGUCAAACACUGAGAAAUGAGGGCACUGAAGAAUCCCCCCUAAAGUUAACAGACAAUGCUUGUAGAAAUUUACUGUAAGGACAAUGUUUGGAGAUAUUUACUAUAGGACAAUGUUUGGCGAUAUUUACUGUAAGGACAAUGUAUGGAGAUAUUUACUGUAAGGACAAUGUUUGGCGAUAUUUAUUGUAAGGACAAUGUUUGGAGAUAUUUACUGUAGGACAAUGUUUGGAGAUAUUUAUUGUAAGGACAAUGUUUGGAGAGAUUUACUGUAAGGACAAUGUUUGGAGAUAUUUACUGUAAGGACAAUGUUUGGAGAUAUUUACUGUAAGGACAAUGUAUGGAGAUAUUUACUGUAAGGACAAUGUUUGGAGAUAUUUACUGUAAGGACAAUGUUUGGAGAUAUUUACUCUAAGGACAAUGUUUGGAGAUAUUUACUGUAAGGACAAUGUUUGGAGAUAUUUACUGUAAGGACAAUGUAUGGAGAUAUUUACUGUAAGGACAAUGUUUGGAGAUAUUUACUGUAAGGACAAUGUUUGGAGAUAUUUACUCUAAGGACAAUGUUUGGAGAUAUUUACUGUAAGGACAAUGUUUGGAGAUAUUUACUCUAAGGACAAUGUUUGGAGAUAUUUACUGUAAGGACAAUGUUUGGAGAAAUGUACUGUAAGGACAAUGUUUGGAGAAAUGUACUGUAAGGACAAUGGACAACAGAGGACAACAGAUUAUCUGAUGAUAUAUUGCACGGCUGAGAGUGUAUAGUUUCAACAUAACUUUUAACAUUACAGCAGAAUGUAAGACAAUGUGUGUAUGAUGUGAAAUCAAAAGGGAUGAGAUCAACAUGUGUGUGCGUGUGUGUGAGUGUGCGUGUGUGUGGGGGGGGGGGGGGGGGGGGGGGGGGGGGGGUUGGUCCCUACUGUACUCUUUAGAGUACUCUGGAGUGUACUGGGCUUCAGAGAAGCACUACAGUGCCCUAAUGUGUGGGCUGUUUACAAGAGAAGCUCUCUGGAUGUCUAUCCUCUGUCAUGUGCAAUUAGUUACUUUAUGAAUAGAACUGACUACUCUAUGCAAAUAAAUGUGAAUGACUCACCCUCUGGCUGUAUUGCAAAUGUUGUUUAAUGUUUGACUGUCACAGUGAAAAGAAAGACAUUGUUUGGUGAAGAUUCCAUCCAUUUACUGUAUAUCCAUCAAAUGCUGCAUUUUUCCUAUUACAAAUAUUAUCUGCAUGUGUUCAUAGUGAUCAGGGAAUGUUCUACAUGAAAUGUGUUAGAUACAGUAUUGAAGCAGUCACAUUAAUAGCCGUCUCAUUGCCUGAUUUUUAUUAUUAUCCUUAUUCAGAGAGAUAGACAGUUUUGAACAUACCUGCAAUAAAGAAAGGGACACAUACUUGUACACAAACGUCUUACAAAACAUGUUGUUGUAAUUGAGUUCUGACUUGUCAUGACUUCUGUGCUGUUUGAAUUGAAUGUGUAUACAGAAUAAAUAAUACAACAGAUGUCUAAAA